GCUCCAGUGGCGCAAUUGGUUAGCGCACGGUACUUAUAAGACAGUGCUCGUGAGUAAUGCCGGGGUUGUGAGUUCGAGCCUCACCUGGAGCA
rnacentral:tRNA from 2 species